UAGCAUUUCCAUAUGGGUGGAAUCCAUAAGGAUCAGCUGGUCAAUUCCUGCAAAGAAGUUGACUUGGAUUUUGAUGGAGAUUGCAUGGAAUCUGUUGAUUGAUUGAAGAAGUGUUGCCACCGUUAAGGUUAAGUCUUCUGAACCAUAAGCAUGGGAUUUUUUCUAAAUAUUUAGGUCUUUAAUGUCUUUCAACAGUGUUCUGUAGUUUUCAGUGUGCAGGUCUUAUAUUUGUUUUGCUAAGUUUACUUCUAAUAAAAAUAUUUAUAAAACUCUUUUUGGUACUAUCAUAACUGGAAAUGUUUUCUAAUUCAGUUUUCAGAAUGUUCAUUGCUAAUUUGUAGAAAUAAGCAGUUGAAUUCUGCGGAAUUUUUGUAUUAGUUAUAGUAAAUGUUAAGUGGAUUUCCUUGCAUUUUUUAAAUUUACAAGAUCAUGUUGUCUGGAAAUAGAAACAGUUUUACUUUUUCCCUUUCAUAUUUGGAUGCUUUUAAAUUUCUUUUUUUUAUCUUACUGCUCUGCCUGGAACUUCCAUUACAAUGUCAAAUGGAUGUGGUGUGAACAGAGAAUGCUGUUUCCUGGGCCCUGGAGAGCCGGCCAGAACCUGGGUGUGCAUGUCACGAAUCCAGCCUCCUGAGCCAAAGCCUCUGAUUCCUGAAGAACAAAUCUGCUGCUCCCUGUUACUGUUCACUGCAGAGCCACCAGCCUCCACAUUUGGUUACAUAAGGACACAGAAGCUGGAGCUCGUCCUUCUUCUGACCUGUUCGUCUGUCCUGAGGCUCAUCACUUUCUAUCGAAUCUGAGGGCGACGUCCACUGCAGUCCAUCAGGGGCUGUUUGGAAGCAGUACCUUCCGUCCUUGUGUCUUGACUGGCCUCACAGAGGCAGGAAGCUCCACGGGGCCCCGGAGAAGCUUUUCCCCAAGAAAGUGCUCCCAGGGCACAAACCACAGGGAAGGAACUGCUGUGUGUGUUGGGGGGACAUCUGUGGAGCCCUAGGUCCCUGAGGCCACCACGAUUCCCUGCACCGAAGCUGCUCGAGCCAGCCGCCCGCACCCCUGCACACCCGAGAGCAGUGGAGUACGUGUCCAGGUUGUGGUCCAAGCCCUUCCCAGGGGCACAGCGGCACCCCGAGGCUCGUCCUGUUUCUCUGGGGGCUGUUCUCACUGCCUCGUUUUGUGCAGAGUCGGGGAAAUGCAGGUGCCGAGGACCUGAGCUCGGAGACGUGUUGAGCUCCUUCAGUGGGGGUACCGAGGGGCUCGUGAAACCACCAGCUGCUUCUUCAUUUUGGUCUAAAACUGUGUGCGAGCCCAGAGGCUUUCCAGCAAAGCGGGAGUUGUCUUAUACGUCGAAUAACAGACUCGGACCCGGGGGCCCCCGCAAGUCCAGCUUAGGGCGCAGCCUCGCUGUGGACUUGUUCGCGGAAUGUCCAACCGCCCUGCGCAGAGCAGAGGCAGCACACAGAGCCUUCUGUGUUCUUGACCCUGCCCCCUGGGCAGCCACUUAUGGGACAAUGUGCAUGCCCGGGCCACCAUAUAAAGUGGCACCAGAGGCUUAGAAGUCCUCAGGUUUCUUAGGGUUGUUGUAAAUGACGAUCAUCUGCUUCCUUCUUCUCCAAGAAUAUGAAAAGAUUGUUUUAAAUCCACAAGGGACCGAGUCCGCCGUCUUCGUCAUGAACCAGCCACAAGCAUUAUUGGGUUACAGUCUCAGCUCACGGUCGAGCUGGGGAAGUGAGGCCCUCGGUGCUGCAAAGGAGCCCCCGUCCGGGAGUGCGGGGUCGAGAGGAAGUGACUGAAAACCCGGGGCGUCCUGAGACGAGGCAUCGUGGGUCAGCAGCAUCUGCAGGCAUCAGCCGCUGUUCAGCUGGCUUGAAGAGUAGAGAACAGCCUUGUCUGUGCGAGGCUUCGAAUCUAGGCGUUGAGAGACGUGGGCUGAGCGUUCACUCUGCCCGGUCAGCGGCCACACUUUCAGCGGGACGGGGGAGCGAACACCCAGCCACGGGGUCCCCACGCGGCACGCGGGAGCACAGAGAGGAGGAGGUGGUCCGGACUGUCCCCGGCAGGCGCGCUCCGGUUGGAAGGAGGACCUGCCGGCAAGUGUCCGCAGGACAGCGGGAGGCGGAGGAGCCGGGUGUGGAGUCCGAUUCGGCCCGUGUUGAGUGACAUCUCCCGGACAGGGAGGGUGUGGAGUCAAGGGUGGGGCGCACGCGCUCUCCUGCGUUGUUAGUCAGGGGCACGGUGAGCACCGCCCGAGAGAGGACGGGAGUGACUAAGGAGAUGAGGCCCCACUGGGGCGUCACCACGGCGCCGGUGGCCCUCCGGCCAGGCCCAUAGAGAAGGACACCUGCCCGGAGCGCGGGGCACGUCCCGUCCGGCUCACAGGGAGCCCGGGGCAGACAGAGGCCCGCCCGCCCUCGGGGCCAGCUCCGUGCCGGCCUUCUCCGGUGGCGCUGCGGCUGUCCUCGGGGUCCCCCGUGAGGAUGGGCCCCUGCUGGGGUCCCCCUUUAGAAGGACGGCCCCGAAGGGCGCUGACAGCGCGUGCCCACGACCGAUGGAAGAAGCAGUGGAAGAAACAACUCAAGUCGGGACGAUUCUUCCUUCCUGACACCGGGAAGCAGCAGCACGAAACCAACCGCGUCAUCAGAUUUUAUCACAAUCUCUCAUUCCUCGUGAGCGAGCGUGACUCGGAGUGGCGCCUGGGCUUCCUGGGCUUCUGCCCAGUGUGGGGGGCGUCUGCCAGACAGGACGGCAGCUGACUCCGUGUCCUCCUGACUCCUGCUUCCGUGGCCCUCCCCCAUGCCCGGCCCGCCCGUGUCCCUGCCACGGGGCUCCUUGAGCGCAGCCCGGCCCACGAGGGGGCGAGGGAGCGGCUGCCUCACACCGUGCAGCAUGGGCGGGGCUGCGGGCUCCGGGGUCCGCAUGGGGCACUGGCUCCUGCGCCCCGAGAGGCCGUAUCCCCGCCUAGCUUUGCUCGGGCAGACUCAUCCUGUGGGAGGGCAGCAGCCCCGGGGGUGUGUGUGUGUGGGGGGGGGGUCGUGUGGGGGGGGUGGGGCGUGUGGGGCCAUGGGGGCAAACCCCCUGAGGACGAGUCUCGGUGAACAUGCUGUCCUCUGGGCGGACAACAAGGGACGAAGUCGAGGGUCUCCCGUAGGUCUUCCGACGACUAGAGCGACAGCACGUUUCCACCUGGGCGUGGCGCCGGAAGUUCCUACCGUGGUCACAUGUCACGAAACAGCGUUUUUCUUGGGUUGUUCCUCAUCGUCUCUACGAGGCUAGAAGCCGUUCAGAGCUCAGAGGCCUGCAGAGCAGCUGGUAGGCUGCGGGGGCCCACGGGCCGUGGUCUGCUGGCCGUGGCCGCAUGGGCAGGUGCAGGGGAGUGUGUGCAGGGCGAGCGUGCAUGGGGCUGGGGGCUUCGGGCCCCUGAAGGCUGCCGCUGACUUCCACGCGGAGCUCGGUGACGUGCUCAGCCAGUGGCUGCGGGCCUGCCCACGGUCAACCGCGGCCUUCCGUACUCCUUGUUUAUAAAUAAAUCAUCUUUAUAAGUAAAUCACUUUUUUUUCUGGGUUGCAAACUGUAGUAAAAAACACUAAUAGCACUGAAUCAAAACGGGGCAGUCCUCUGGACUGUGAAGGGAGGGCUCCGGGGGGAGAAAUGGUGUUUGAUUUGGCUUCGUCCCCCGCGCUGGGCCCACGUGCUUCCGGCAACAAAGAAACGCUUGGUGAACUUAGGAGUCCGUCCUUGUCACCGGAGGGCACAGUGUCUUCAUGUGCAUUACCUGUGACAGUCUCUGGUUUUAACGAUUGUGUCAUUUGAAGCUUCCCAGAGCCCUGCAAAGCCUGGGGGCCUCGCCCUCACUUUACGGAGCAGAAACCAGCACAAAGGCAUUGGCGAAUGGUUUCCGUGUCGUGCUCACUCCGGUCGGGACUCCCCUGGGCUGGGGUCCUCAGAGGGGCUGGGCAGGCAGCCCUGGCCAGGCAGCUUUCCAAACCAGCUGAGAGACACUGACCUCAGGACCGUUGGGGCCCAGAACAGCAGCUUGGCCGCCCAUCCCAGAGGGCUUUCUGUGUUUUUUUCCAGCAUUUUCCUAAUGCAAGACUGAGACGUUCU